rnacentral:rRNA from 3 species
UUGUUGGGUAGGGGAGCGUUCUGUAAGCCUGCGAAGGUGGCCUGUGAGGGUUGCUGGAGGUAUCAGAAGUGCGAAUGCUGACAUAAGUAACGAUAAAGCGGGUGAAAAGCCCGCUCGCCGGAAGACCAAGGGUUCCUGUCCAACGUUAAUCGGGGCAGGGUGAGUCGACCCCUAAGGCGAGGCCGAAAGGCGUAGUCGAUGGGAAACGGGUUAAUAUUCCCGUACUUGGUGUUACUGCGAAGGGGGGACGGAGAAGGCUAUGUUGGCCGGGCGACGGUUGUCCCGGUUUAAGCGUGUAGGUGUGUGUUCCAGGUAAAUCCGGUUCACUUUAACACUGAGGCGUGACGACGAGGCACUACGGUGCUGAAGCAACAAAUGCCCUGCUUCCAGGAAAAGCCUCUAAGCAUCAGGUAACAUCAAAUCGUACCCCAAACCGACACAGGUGGUCAGGUAGAGAAUACCAAGGCGCUUGAGAGAACUCGGGUGAAGGAACUAGGCAAAAUGGUGCCGUAACUUCGGGAGAAGGCACGCUGACACGUAGGUGAAGUGAUUUACUCAUGGAGCUGAAGUCAGUCGAAGAUACCAGCUGGCUGCAACUGUUUAUUAAAAACACAGCACUGUGCAAACACGAAAGUGGACGUAUACGGUGUGACGCCUGCCCGGUGCCGGAAGGUUAAUUGAUGGGGUCAGCGCAAGCGAAGCUCCUGAUCGAAGCCCCGGUAAACGGCGGCCGUAACUAUAACGGUCCUAAGGUAGCGAAAUUCCUUGUCGGGUAAGUUCCGACCUGCACGAAUGGCGUAAUGAUGGCCAGGCUGUCUCCACCCGAGACUCAGUGAAAUUGAACUCGCUGUGAAGAUGCAGUGUACCCGCGGCAAGACGGAAAGACCCCGUGAACCUUUACUAUAGCUUGACACUGAACAUUGAGCCUUGAUGUGUAGGAUAGGUGGGAGGCUUUGAAGUGUGGACGCCAGUCUGCAUGGAGCCGACCUUGAAAUACCACCCUUUAAUGUUUGAUGUUCUAACGUGGACCCGUAAUCCGGGUUGCGGACAGUGUCUGGUGGGUAGUUUGACUGGGGCGGUCUCCUCCUAAAGAGUAACGGAGGAGCACGAAGGUUGGCUAAUCCUGGUCGGACAUCAGGAGGUUAGUGCAAUGGCAUAAGCCAGCUUGACUGCGAGCGUGACGGCGCGAGCAGGUGCGAAAGCAGGUCAUAGUGAUCCGGUGGUUCUGAAUGGAAGGGCCAUCGCUCAACGGAUAAAAGGUACUCCGGGGAUAACAGGCUGAUACCGCCCAAGAGUUCAUAUCGACGGCGGUGUUUGGCACCUCGAUGUCGGCUCAUCACAUCCUGGGGCUGAAGUAGGUCCCAAGGGUAUGGCUGUUCGCCAUUUAAAGUGGUACGCGAGCUGGGUUUAGAACGUCGUGAGACAGUUCGGUCCCUAUCUGCCGUGGGCGCUGGAGAACUGAGGGGGGCUGCUCCUAGUACGAGAGGACCGGAGUGGACGCAUCACUGGUGUUCGGGUUGUCAUGCCAAUGGCACUGCCCGGUAGCUAAAUGCGGAAGAGAUAAGUGCUGAAAGCAUCUAAGCACGAAACUUGCCCCGAGAUGAGUUCU